rnacentral:tRNA from 1 species
GAGACGUAGCCAAGUGGUAAGGCAGAGGCCUGCAAAGCCUUUACCCCCGGUUCGAAUCCGGGCGUCUC